rnacentral:rRNA from 1 species
GAGUUUGAUUCUGGCUCAGAUUGAACGCUGGCGGCAUGCUUUACACAUGCAAGUCGAACGGCAGCACAAGGAGCUUGCUCCUGGGUGGCGAGUGGCGAACGGGUGAGUAAUGUAUCGGAACGUGCCUGGUAGUGGGGGAUAACUACUCGAAAGAGUGGCUAAUACCGCAUGAGAUCUUUGGAUGAAAGUGGGGGACCUUCGGGCCUCGCGCUACUGGAGCGGCCGAUAUCAGAUUAGGUUGUUGGUGGGGUAAAGGCCUACCAAGCCUGCGAUCUGUAGCUGGUCUGAGAGGACGACCAGCCACACUGGGACUGAGACACGGCCCAGACUCCUACGGGAGGCAGCAGUGGGGAAUUUUGGACAAUGGGCGCAAGCCUGAUCCAGCAAUGCCGCGUGCAGGAUGAAGGCCCUCGGGUUGUAAACUGCUUUUGUACAGAACGAAAAGUCUCUGGCUAAUACCUGGGGAUCAUGACGGUA